rnacentral:rRNA from 1 species
GAUAACAACGAAGAGUUUGAUCCUGGCUCAGGAUGAACGCUAGCGACAGGCUUAACACAUGCAAGUCGAGGGGCAGCGGGGGAGUAGCAAUACUCCCGCCGGCGACCGGCGCACGGGUGAGUAACACGUAUGAAACCUGCCCGUAGCAGGGGGAUAAGCGGAAGAAAUUCCGUCUAAUACCGCGUAACAACCCAUGGAGGCAUCUCCGUGGGUUUAAAGGAAGCGAUUCCGGCUACGGAUGGUCAUGCGUCGCAUUAGCUAGUUGGCGGGGUAACGGCCCACCAAGGCGACGAUGCGUAGGGGUUCUGAGAGGAAGGUCCCCCACACUGGUACUGAGACACGGACCAGACUCCUACGGGAGGCAGCAGUGAGGAAUAUUGGUCAAUGGCCGCAGGGCUGAACCAGCCAAGUCGCGUGAGGGAUGACGGUCCUAUGGAUUGUAAACCUCUUUUGUCAGGGAGCAAAGGGCGCCACGUGUGGCGCUUUGCGAGUACCUGAAGAAAAAGCAUCGGCUAACUCCGUGCCAGCAGCCGCGGUAAUACGGAGGAUGCGAGCGUUAUCCGGAUUUAUUGGGUUUAAAGGGUGCGCAGGCGGAAUGUCAAGUCAGCGGUAAAAUUUCGGGGCUCAACCCCGUCGUGCCGUUGAAACUGGCGUUCUUGAGUGAGCGAGAAGUAUGCGGAAUGCGUGGUGUAGCGGUGAAAUGCAUAGAUAUCACGCAGAACUCCGAUUGCGAAGGCAGCAUACCGGCGCUCAACUGACGCUCAUGCACGAAAGCGUGGGUAUCGAACAGGAUUAGAUACCCUGGUAGUCCACGCAGUAAACGAUGAAUACUAACUGUCCGGGCAGAAUGAUGCCUGGGUGGUACAGCGAAAGCGUUAAGUAUUCCACCUGGGGAGUACGCCGGCAACGGUGAAACUCAAAGGAAUUGACGGGGGCCCGCACAAGCGGAGGAACAUGUGGUUUAAUUCGAUGAUACGCGAGGAACCUUACCCGGGCUCAAACGACGGAUGGAUGUUUCUGAAAGGAGGCAGUCCUACGGGACAUCCGUCGAGGUGCUGCAUGGUUGUCGUCAGCUCGUGCCGUGAGGUGUCGGCUUAAGUGCCAUAACGAGCGCAACCCCCAUCGCCAGUUACCAGCAAGUAAAGUUGGGGACUCUGGCGAGACUGCCGGCGCAAGCUGUGAGGAAGGCGGGGAUGACGUCAAAUCAGCACGGCCCUUACGUCCGGGGCGACACACGUGUUACAAUGGCAGGUACAGAGAGAAGCGAUGCGGCGACGCAGAGCGGAACUUCAAAGCCUGUCUCAGUUCGGAUUGGAGUCUGCAACCCGACUCCAUGAAGCUGGAUUCGCUAGUAAUCGCGCAUCAGCCACGGCGCGGUGAAUACGUUCCCGGGCCUUGUACACACCGCCCGUCAAGCCAUGGAAGCCGGGAGUGCCUGAAGUGUGCAACCGCAAGGAGCGCCCUAAGGUAAAACCGGUGACUGGGGCUAAGUCGUAACAAGGUAGCCGUACCGGAAGGUGCGGCUGGAACACCUCCUUUCUG